GCCAGUUUGGCUCAGUGGAUAAAGCAUCAGCCUGCAGACUGAAGGGUCGCAGGUUCGAUACCAGUCACAGGCA
rnacentral:tRNA from 1 species